rnacentral:lncRNA from 1 species
AUAAGACCUGUGGCGGCUCCACUGAGACCCACACGUGCAACUCCGCGCCUCCGCGUUAAAGGAGGUGAAACGCAGCAGCCCUGAGAAACCCCGAGACCCCGGUGUCCUAGCAGAGGCGCCCCGGAUGGGGAGGGGCGCGGGGCCGGCGCCACCCCAGAGGAAAAGCCCAGCGGAGCCGGGUUGGGCAGGAGCUGGCGGCGGCGGUGCGCUGGGCCUUCUGCCUUGGAUCCUCCGCGGUCGGCACCGCUUCCCUGCUCAGAUUCGAACCCAGAUUCGGCUCCCAAGGCUCCCACGGCUCCAGGGUGCCCAGUCUUGCAGCCAGCUCGCCGCCCGAGCCCCGGAUGGAGGAAGCGCUCACUGGCCGCUACCUCUGCUGUUUCUGGCACCAGGAGAUUGAGACUGUGAACCUGAACUCCCUUGAUCUCCUCCCGUUGGGCCCAGGAGGGAGCCGAAUCCAGGCCCAACCGGGCUCACUGAGAAGGAACCUUUAAAAAUCCGCCAACGAAUGCUGUUGCCUGGAUGCGCUGCCUAUGACCUUCAGCCGUGUGUUCACGCGCGCCCGCAGCCGUGGAGUGGCGGUCCCUCCUGCCGCCCGCAACCCCGGGGCCGCCGGUCUGCGCACACCGGGAGCAACUUCGUUACCCACAGCGCCCGCGUCCUGCGGCUCGCGCGGAACUGCGCGCGGGAAGGUGGCAGAGCGACGCUCCAGAACGCUGCUUGCGUAGACGCUGCCGCUGCCUUCAGAUCCCAAUUCGGCCGCGCGCGGGCGGGGCCCUGGCAGCAACGAAAAUGGCGAGCCUCGUAGCCUUCCGGGCCCGGCGGCCACAUUCCGGGAGUCGCCAGGUGGGAGCCCGCCUUCCGUGUCCCCAAACGCCCAGAGCCCGGGACACGGGCCGGCGGCCGGGUCACCAAGCCAGUUCCCGGAAUCGGCUCGCGCCGGAAUCCAGACUCGGCUUGCAAAGCCCGCUCCUGCCGUCUCUCCGCAGCGCGCCCUGCCCCCCACUGCCGGCCCUCUUAGCUUCAAAACCAAAUUUUGCCUUUCAUCCUGAGAGAUUAAUACCCCGCAGGUGAAACCGUGGAGACGGAGCUGCGGUGGGUUUCUUUUCCACGCCUCAGUUUCCUCGUCUGUGAAAUGGGACCAGGCGCGCCUGUGCUUCUCCGGGAGUUUAUUGCAGGGCUGGCUGGAGAGAAUGGCUGGGUGGAAGCUGCCAGGAGGAGGCCCAAGGCCGCCCACCCCGUGGGCCUCGUUUGCUGAGCGGGGGUCAGAGGCGUGCGGGACAGGGCGCGCCCCACGGCGGCUCUGGAGGCGGCCCGGCCCGUCCCUGUCUCCUCCCCUCGCUCCCCCUCCCCCGGCCUUCCCGGAACUCUCCUCGCCCGCUGGGUGGAGGAGGGGCGAGGGCCGACUCCGCCGCCCCUGGGGUCUCCCUCCUCCCACCCCCACCGCAGAGUCUGGCCCGCCCUGGGCUUUCCUCUCAGGUCCCUUUGGGUCUCCAGAAGCCCGGAGGUUUCGCGCAGACUCGAACCUGAGAUGACACCACCCAGCACCCCAAAUCCUGCAGAGUGUGGAGGGGAUCUGGGGAGAAGGCAGGGGCUGCCCGGGCGCUCUGGCUGCUGGGGGUGGGGGACAGGGCCUGCCGGGGAAGCGGGUCGGGGGAGGACUGGAGACCCAGGCUCCCCUAGGUACAACGAACCUCGCGGGAGGGAAUACGCCAUCCCCGUACCCACUUCCGAGGACGUAGGUCUUUUGGCACCGGCGGCAGCCGCGUUCCCACACAUCUGGGCGGGGCCCCGCAGCAUGGCCUGGGGAGCUGAGGCUUCGGGAUCCGGCACAAACUACCAUUCUAGGUGUAGACGGAGGAGGUGGGGUGUGGGAAGCAGGGGGCCAUGGUCUGAGCAGACCUUCUCACCUCUGGGCCUCCCACCUCCUGGGGCAGGACUUACGGGGAAGGACCCGAGGGGAGUGGGGUGUCCAUAGGGACACCCAAGGGUCUAUCCCUGCGAGCUUUGCUUUCUACUAAACCAAUAAUCGCAGUGGUGGUGGCAGUCGAGACACGGCUCAAAGAGCCGGCAAGAAUAGAGCAGAGACCAGGAUCGCCCCAGGCAGGGAAAAAAUGACCAGUUCUGUAGAGUGACCCGAAGGUGAUGGAAUCACUCGGGCGUCCUCCUGGGAAAGAGCUGCCUGCUCCCCCGCCGCCGCCAGUACACCGGCGCCCAUGCCCCGGGGGCUGGAGAGAGCAGCCAGGCACAGGUAACUCAAGAACUCCAGUCCCCUCACGGGUGCCGUGCUGUGGGGCGCCCUCACCCCCACACUUUGGGUCCCUGGGCCUCCUCAUCAAAGCAGGGGCCUGAGUGGCAGGAACACCCCUGUGUGCAGAAUAGUGCCCCCUGCAGCCCCCACAGGUCACCUCUUUGAGGACCUAGGUGGGGCCUGCCCUGGGGACUGGGGUGAAGAGGGCAGGUCCAGCCUUCAGCAGCCCCUCCCCCAUGACUUCAGUGGAAUUACAAGGGGAACACCCAGGGCAGCUCCCGUAGGCUGCACAAGGGAAGAGGGGAGGGCUUCUACUGAGGUGAAACAGUGACCCACCCCUCCCACACCGUCAGCCUCCCUCCCCUCUCCACCCUUCAGUGCUGGGACCCCAGGGCCCAUAGACAGCUGGGGGAGUGGGGAGACAGGAGGAACUCAAGCUCAGCUUCUGCCUCCUGUCUCCUGGGACCCUCGGGCAGCCCCUCCAGCUUCCUGGGAGUCCAAUUUCCCAAGGUAGAACGGUGGCGGCAGAGCCUGGCCCUGUGGUGGGGCAGCUGCACCCCGAUGAGUGGCUUGCAGUUCCUGGAGCCCUGCAGGUUGUUGGAGAGGCAGGGAGCCCUUCUCCCUCCUGCCUGCCCUCUUGCACUUCCUCUCCCAGAACCCAGCACUACUCCCAGAGGCUCUGAGCUGGAGCCCUAGAAGGUAACCACCUCCUGGCUGGACACAGGGCAAGUUGGGGCCAGGCGUGAGGACAGGUGCCCCAGGAGCCACCUGCUCCACUCAUCCACAAAGGCCUUAACUGGCUCAGGGGCCCCUAGCUCCCAGUCAAGCCCUGCCCUCCUGACCUUGUCCUGCCCUGGUGCUGCCAGUCGGGUGGAGAUGUCUAGGGGCCAGCUGGUCUCCUGGCAACUGAAGUCCGCGCUUCCCUUCCGUUCACUCAUUCCUUCCUUUCCUCAUGCAGGAGGCGCUGCAAGGCUCCGUGCUCCUGGAGCUUCGAGUCUAUGGUAUGAGUUAAACAGAAGGGUAUCUCCUCCAUCAGAUCUACAGGAGGGUGUCUGCUCCAUCAGACCUGGAGCUUCCAAGGCAUUUUACCCGAAGCUCCAGCACCUGGCCCAAGGCUGGGCUGUGCUGUGUCCUCAGUGAAAGAAUGGAUGAGUCACAGCUGAAUGACUGAAGAGCUGAACCAGAUGGGAAAACUGAUGCUCAGAGGCUUGAGCAACCUAGGCCAGGACCUGUCCUUAGAGGCAGAAGCAGGACUCAGAGGAAGAGCACCCUGACCACAAAGCCCCAGGGGUCCAGAAAGACUCAGCCACUGGAGUCUGUAUUUCCUGAGUCGCCUCUCACUGGCUGGAGCUGUUUAUCAUCGCUCCAACUUUCACUAAAAAGGAAAAACUAUCACUUAAACAAAGCCAUUGAAACCCCAGCAUCAUGUGUGGAUUUUUUAACAUAAAUAAAUCAUACAAACUAAG